UACCAGCACCCCGAGUGGUCGGGACGAUUAUUGGGCCUAAAGCAUCCGUAGCCGGUUCUACAAGUCUUCCGUUAAAUCCACCUGCUUAACAGAUGGGCUGCGGAAGAUACUAUAGAGCUAGGAGGCGGGAGAGGCAAGCGGUACUCGAUGGGUAGGGGUAAAAUCCGUUGAUCCAUUGAAGACCACCAGUGGCGAAGGCGGCUUGCCAGAAUGCGCUCGACGGUGAGGGAUGAAAGCUGGGGAGCAACCGG
rnacentral:rRNA from 1 species